GACGAACGCUGGCGGCGUGCUUAACACAUGCAAGUCGAACGGAAAGGCCCUGCUUUUGUGGGGUGGUCGAGUGGCGAAAGGGUGAGUAACACGUGAGUAACCUGCCCUUGACUUUGGGAUAACUUCAGGAAACUGGGGCUAAUACCGGAUAGGAGCUCUUGCUGCAUGGUGGGGGCUGGAAAGUUUCGGCGGUUGGGGAUGGAAUAGCGGCUUAUCAGCUUGGUGGUGGGGUAGUGGCAUACCAAGGCUUUGACGGGUAGCCGGCCUGAGAGGGUGACCGGCCACACUAGGACUGAGAUACGGCCCAGACUCCUACGGGAGGCAGCAGUGGGGAAUAUUGCACAAUGGGCGGAAGCCUGAUGCAGCAACGCCGCGUGCGGGAUGACGGCCUUCGGGUUGUAAACCGCUUUCGCCUGUGACGAAGCGUUAGUGACGGUAAUGGGUAAAGAAGCACCGGCUAACUACGUG
rnacentral:rRNA from 1 species